GACGAACGCUGGCGGCGUGCUUAACACAUGCAAGUCGAACGGAAAGGCCCGGCUUUGGUGGGGUGCUCGAGGGGAGAACGGGUGAGUAACACGUGAGUAACCUACCCCUGACUUUGGGAUAACUUCAUGAAACUGGGGCUAAUAGCAGCUAGGAUCUCCCGCUGCAUGGUGGGGGCGGGAAAGUUUCGGCGGUUGGGAAUGGACUCGCGGCUUAUCAGCUUGAUGGUGGGGUAGUGGCUUAGCAUGGCUUUGACGGGUAGCCGGCCUGAGAGGGGAGCAUGCCCCGUUGGGACUGGGCUACGGCACGGCCUCGUACCGGAGGCAGGGGAGGGGAAUAGUGCACAAGGGGCGGAAGCCUGAUGCAGCAACGCCGCGUGCGGGAUGACAGCCAUCGCGUUGUAUAGUGCUUUCGCCUGUGACGAGGCGUUAGUGACGGUACUGGGUAAAGAAGCACCGGCUAACUACGUG
rnacentral:rRNA from 1 species